rnacentral:ncRNA from 1 species
AAACUCUGGAGAAUCUCUUAAAUGAGUGCCGAAGGUGCAAGGCUCGUGAGGGCCGAAACUCUCAGGCAAAAGGACAGAGGC